UCCAAGCAUUGAUAGUUUUAAAAGUUCCCCAGGUGAUUCUAAUAUCUAGCCAGGAUUGAAAACAACUAUAAAUAUAAAACAAAUGAUAUGUAAGUAGACAUAUGAGAGACAGGGAGAUUUCUACCCCAUUGUGAGAUGCACCCAUUGUGAGAUGAGCACCAUAAACAUGCUGGGACUCUAUCAGUUGGAGUACUUUUAGCCAGAAGACACACACAUCUGGUCGACCAUGGUACAAGAACCGUAAUGUCUUCUUUAAUAGGCAGCUCAGACAUGGGGUCUUCAAAGUGGGUUAGUUCAGCAGCUUAACAGAGCAUAAGGGAUUUGAGGGCUUUUCAUCCCUUUCCUUCAUGAUCCCUUUCCUUCCAUCCCUGGAAUAGACUAAUUUAAAACCAGGACACCUUGUCCAGUCCCAUGAUGAGUAGACUUUUUUUCAACAAUGGGAUACUUCUUUUUAUAGUGGCUCUUUCAUAUCACAGUUUCAUUAUCAGAGAGUAAGAUCUUCCUAUUAAAUUGUCUUGGUUAUUGACACUGCUGGUGAAGUUAGAGCAGUGGGGACGUGGGAACAAAAACAUAACCCAUAGCUCCUCCCUUAAAGGCCAGUUCCAUCUUGGCUGACUGUACUGAUGAAGAUGAUCUCCAGACAUCUUUAAAUCUCUUUAAGGAAGAGAAGACAAAGGAGAAAAUGGGGCUUCACAGCUGUCCCAGUCCUUGGCUUUUGAGACAGGGAGAAGAUGCAAUCUGAGCAUUUAUCCUGCGGAUUCACAGGUGUCAUUUUAGCAGACUAUCUGCGUUUAUUGUGUUUUGGAGAUCAUCUGGACUUUCUGUGUCUCAAACAAAGUCAACAAAGAGUACUUUUUCAUUAGUGAGAUGCUUUUAUAUAUCGCUGUCAUCGGGGAGCAAAGAAAACACUUCUCUGCAGGCAUAGG